AAGCAGGCAGCAGCUCUCCUGGCUCACAGCUGAGCUCAGGACAGAAAGCAUCACUGCUUGCUUCACCCAACUGCUGGGCAGAGCAAGGUGCCCGGGUCACAGUGCAGUGCUGGAACACAACAACCUCUCCAUCACUUCUGGCACCAGCAGCUCUGAACAAACCCUGAGCACCAGCAUCUUAUCCAGCCCUCAUGCAGAAAGCAUCAGUCCUGCAGAAGGACAAGAUUACAAAGGUCCCUCCAGACAUUAGUUUUCACAUGCAAUUGAGGAAGAUAAAUAGCAAGCACAACCACCUGAAGCUGGAAAAGGGCAAGGAUUUCAGCAGUGCACGCACACCGAUCCCAGCUUAAUAGCAAAUAUCCCAUUUGCUACAACAAACGAACCCCUUUGCAGAGCCCAUUGGUACUGAUUAAAGCUGAGCAGGCUGAGCAUCACUUCCACUCUUCCUCCCUGGGCUCUCUGAGAGGGAGCAGCAUCCAACUACAGCAGCAGUCAACCCCAGGAGCUGAUGCACAACUUCAACAGGACAACACUUGGGCUGGGCUGACCUCACCCGAAGAGGGAUGCACUCUGCUACACAACAGUAGGACAGAUGGACCAGAUGAUCUUCUCCAGGCUUGUUCUGCUCAUGUUUGGCUGCGUUAGCCAAAUGCUAUCUCAGUGGAAACCACAGCAAAGCAAGCUCUGAGAACUGCACGGCACAAAGUUACCUCGGU
rnacentral:lncRNA from 1 species